rnacentral:rRNA from 1 species
UACGACUACAUAUCAGGCAUAUCAAUAAGCGGAGGAAAAGAAACUAACAAGGAUUCCCUUAGUAACGGCGAGUGAAGCGGGAAGAGCUCAAAUUUGAAAUCUUCAAGGUUCUACCUUGACGAAUUGUAGUUUAAAGAAGUGUUUUCUGUUAGAUGAGUAGCAAAAGUUCCUUGGAAUGGGGACAUCAUAGAGGGUGAGAAUCCCGUAUUUGGUUAUUCAUUCUAGCUUUGUGAUACACUUUCAAAGAGUCGGAUUGUUUGGGAAUGCAGUCCAAAAUGGGUGGUAAAUUUCAUCUAAAGCUAAAUAUUGGCGAGAGACCGAUAGCGAACAAGUACCGUGAGGGAAAGAUGAAAAGAACUUUGAAAAGAGAGUUAAACAGUACGUGAAAUUGUCAAAAGGGAAGCGUUUGACACCAGUGUUGUUUUUCCGAAAAUCAAUUACGAAUGGCUUGAUUUUGUGUUGUAUUGACCUUAUCAGCUUUCUGCACUUUUUUCGAGUCUUUCUUAAUGCACUUUUCGGUUAACAAGUCAACAUCAAUUUCUUUUGUUGUAAAAGAGUAUUCGGAAGGUGGCUUUCUUUUCGGAGAAAGUGUUUAUAGCCCUAUACUUCUACAAUCGGAGAGAUUGAGGUCUGCAGCGUAGAUCCUUCGGGGUUAGAUACACUUGUGCUAAGUUGUAGCUUUUCAUAGACAACUUGUUGACUAUGUUUAGUCAUGCGGCUCACUCGCUUGUGCUAUUUUACCUACGCUUAGGAUGUUGAGUAGCGACAUACGCAC